ensembl:lncRNA
AUGAGAACCAAAAUGUCACUCUUGGAAACAGUGUGCUGGUGGUCUCUCAUGUUCGGGUGUGCGCUGUCCCAGAUCACACAUCCCAAGGAGCUGUUACUGUACAAACCGGGAAGGAGCGCAAGGGUCAUCUGUGAAGCGGAUGCAUCCGUGCCCUUGAACAGCAACCCUCUCCACUGGUUUCAAGCGUCCAAAAGGGACCAAAGAAGUACUCUGACCAUCAGCAACGCAGUGCCUGACGACAGCGGGUAUUAUUACUGCGCCUACUGGCAGUCCCACUGUGAGGAAACAAAGCAGAAAGCAAGACAAAAACACAAGUUGUUUUGCACUGGAACACAAACCACAAAGUUGGUUCAGUGUUUCGCUCACAUGGCACCGCAAUUGGCACAGCUUCUUUUCUCAGCAGGGCCCCAUAUUUCUGUUAUUAUUAUUAUUAUCACACAUACACACACACUUUCUGAAAUUGCUUGUCUCAUACUGGGUUGCGACGAGCCGGAGCCUAACCCGGCAACAGAGGGCGUAAGGCUGGAGGGGGAGGGGACAUACCCAGGACGGGACGCCAGUCCGUCGCAAGGCAACCCAAAGCGAGACUUGAACCCCAGACCCACCGGAGAGCAGGACCUGGGCAAACCCGCAGUUACUGCUGUUACUGCAAAGCCCCACUUACACACACUUUGCACUUUUCCAAUGGUGUAACACUGGAGGCUGCUCCUUAUUUGUCCAAAAAAAGGAUCAGCAAAG